CGGCGGGCGGGUGAGUAACGCGUGGGUAACCUACCCUGUACACACGGAUAACAUACCGAAAGGUAUGCUAAUACGGGAUAAUAUAUUUGAGAGGCAUCUCUUAAAUAUCAAAGGUGAGCCAGUACAGGAUGGACCCGCGUCUGAUUAGCUAGCUGGUAAGGUAACGGCUUACCAAGGCGACGAUCAGUAGCCGACCUGAGAGGGUGACCGGCCACAUUGGGACUGAGACACAGCCCAA
rnacentral:rRNA from 1 species